GAGAAUGGUUUGUCAUGUUCAGUGCUUGAGGUUGGUUAGUUUCUGGUCAGUUCAGAAGCUACUACUUUAGUAAGAUGCUUUCUUUGUGGCCUUUGACACAAGAGACAAGAGUGACCAAAUAGAUUUUUAGGGUAAUGGGUAUAAAAAACCCCUCUCUAUUGUAAGGGAAGAAACCUGACUUUUCUAAAGAAACAUCUCUUAAAAAUGUUUCUAACCACUAAAGAGUACUUAAGGUGUAUGUUCCAAUUCCAAUUUGCCUUGAAAUUGGGUUGAACAGAUAAAGCAAUGUUUUAAAAAUAUAAAGUAAGUAAACUGGUCUAGAGCCUUUUAGGAUAAAACCCUGUUUAACACUUACUCAUGGUAGUAUUAUCAGAAAAUUGUCUUUGCCACCAUGAAUCCUACUAUCUGCUUCUCUAUAUAAAUUAUAAGAGGACCUUGAAUUAAUCAUGAGAAAAUGGAUUUUUUUUUUCCUCCUAUUUUCUGGAAGAAAAAAAGUAAGUGUUCAAGUGAUUUCUAUUUGAUAAUUUUUCUUUCUCCUUUGGUUUCUCUACAUCUUUGCUCAACUAAAAGGCUAGUUAUUUCUGAAGGAUUACAAUAUGUUUAUUAAAUGUCAAAAUGAGAUUCUUUUUUAAAAAGAAGGCAAGUUUUUCAUACUGUUACAGUCAGCGCCAAAGAACUUUUUCCUUCCCAUAAGUAUUUUUUAUUUGCAUCUGUUUGAUUCUAUUAAUUUUUUCAAUUAACUGACUUUAUAAAAAAUAUUUGCAAACUUUUUCUUGCCUUAAGAUGUAAUAUUUUCCACUUAACUGAUUGCCUACGGAUGAUUAUCUGCAUUAAAAAGAAUUCUUUAGCUUAUCAUUCCUUUAAACCUAUGAGAUAGAAAUGCCAAAGUAACAUUUAACAUACUUCUCUGUGACCUUUCAUAAUCAGAAAUUUUAAAUUAUGUUCAUAACAUAAUAUGCUUUUAUUUUUAGUGAACACAUAUUAGGGAGUUAUUUGGAAUAUGUCAAUACUUUUCAAAGUGAUUAUAAGAAUGACACUGAAUUAAAAAAAUUUUUUUUUGCUUGGAUAAAGCAAAUUUAGAAAUAUCUCUGUAUGUGAAACUGAAGAAUUUAUAUAAUCUGUGAUUAAUGGAAAUAAGGGCAUCCUUUCUUUGUUACUUGUGUUUAUAUUGUUGUUUUGCUUAGUUUGAGAACAACUGUGUAUUAGCUUCACUUGGCUGAUAUCUGUAAGUGUGUCUAUUCCUAAGUGUAAAGACUGCAUUCAUUAAUUUAUGUAAAACACUACGAUAGCAGGAAAAAAAAAUAGCACUGACUCUUUAGCCAAAAUAAGCACUGUAACAUGGUGUUUCUCUAUUGCCAAAUAAAAAAGUGAUGGUACAUCUU
rnacentral:lncRNA from 1 species